rfam:Rhodopseudomonas palustris strain BAL398 c330l19514c200.273193, whole genome shotgun sequence.
CGAGCCGCAGCUUGGGAGAGCGUCGCGGCUCGCACGAUCCGCGGUCGGCCUGGGAGGGCGGGACACGGCUCAUUGAGGGGAGAACCACCGAUGGAGAAUAUGUUUCUCGUCGGCUUGUCGCGGCAAAUGGUGCUUG